UUGUGGAGGAGGACGCCGAAGGUGGGGCUAAUGACUGGGGUGAAGUCGUAACAAGGUAGCCGUACCGGAAGGUGCGGCUGGAUCACCUCCUAACAGGGAGACAACAAAAUGUUAAAUAUUAAUUUUGUCACCUUAGGUCGAUCGGUACCUCUGAUUCUUAAUUUGAUUAAGGAUUUCAGAUCCUAAGUUUUUUCUAGGUCACACCCAUUACUUUCCCUGGGCCAUUAGCUCAGGUGGUUAGAGCGCACCCCUGAUAAGGGUGAGGUCCCUGGUUCAAGUCCAGGAUGGCCCAUAUCUCUAUGUUGGGGGUAUAGCUCAGUUGGUAGAGCGCCUGCUUUGCAAGCAGGAUGUCAGCGGUUCGAGUCCGCUUACCUCCACUGAUUACCACCUCUUCCAUAAGUGCAUAUAAGGGAACUGUUCUUGAGUGUAAUUUUUUGUUCUGAACGAAUCUAGCUUCCUAAUUUAUCUUUUAAGAUGCUGGACUCAUUGAAUUUUAUUCAUUGUUUUCAGAGAACCUUGACAACUGCAUAGAUUAUUUUUAAAGACAAUAAGCAUCUUAAUGAUGCAGAUUUUUAUUUUUGCUAAUGCAUUAAUAACAAUUCUAUUGAGCUGAUGCUUCAAUUUUUUGAAGUUAUUGGUCAAGCUACAA
rnacentral:misc_RNA from 1 species